CGUCAUCGCAGGUCCUGCAGCCCCAGGAGGUGAGAUCUGCAGGUAUCUUAGAUACAGGACUUUCUUCUUUUUAAAGACAAUGGUCCUUUCCAUCAAUGACCCACCAAGGAUGGAGAAGUACAGAGACCACAUGGCUGCAAGGAUAUUGGACCUCACCCUGGAGAUCAUCUCCUUGAUAACUGGAGAGGAUUACACAGUAGUGAAGAAGUCGUCUGGUGAGUGUGUGACACCCCGUG